rnacentral:rRNA from 1 species
CCUACGGGAGGCAGCAGUGGGGAAUAUUGCACAAUGGGGGAAACCCUGAUGCAGCGACGCCGCGUGAGUGAUGAAGUAUUUCGGUAUGUAAAGCUCUAUCAGCAGGGAAGAAAAUGACGGUACCUGACUAAGAAGCCCCGGCUAACUACGUGCCAGCAGCCGCGGUAAUACGUAGGGGGCAAGCGUUAUCCGGAUUUACUGGGUGUAAAGGGAGCGUAGACGGCAGUGCAAGUCAGGUGUGAAAUGCCGGGGCUCAACCCCGGAACUGCUUUGGAAACUGUGCAGCUAGAGUGCAGGAGAGGUAGGUGGAAUUCCUAGUGUAGCGGUGAAAUGCGUAGAUAUUAGGAGGAACACCAGUGGCGAAGGCGGCUUACUGGACUGUAACUGACGUUGAGGCUCGAAAGCGUGGGGAGCAAACAGGAUUAGAUACCCUGGUAGUC